UUUGCGGAGAGUUUGAUCCUGGCUCAGGAUGAACGCUGGCGGCGUGCUUAAUACAUGCAAGUCGAACGAAGAGCCUUUGUAGCAAUACGGAGGUUUCUUAGUGGCGAACGGGUGCGUAACGCGUUGGUGACCUGCCCCGAAGUGUGGGAUAACAGUUCGAAAGGACUGCUAAUACCGCAUGUGGUCAUUGGGUUUAGAAGCCGAUGACUAAAGCAGUAAUGCGCUUCGGGAGGGACCUGCGUCCCAUCAGCUAGUUGGUGAGGUAACGGCCCACCAAGGCUACGACGGGUAGGGGACCUGAGAGGGUGGUCCCCCACACUGGCACUGAAACACGGGCCAGACACCUACGGGUGGCAGCAGUAGGG
rnacentral:rRNA from 1 species